GGAACCCCAAAAUGUACAACCUGCCAGAGGAACCUUUUCGGAGACAGUUUUGCCUCAUUAACCCAGGGGGGCGGUUCCAGGAGAGGACGAAGUCAUGGGAGACUAUGGGAAGGGAUAGAAGUGUACCAGAUCUUACCGGAGGUCUCCAGGAGCCAGAGAAGCAAAGAGUCACAGGGAAGCAGAAUGAUUUGUCAGACCAGAGCAGGUGUCAGACCUCUGAGGAAGGAAACAAGGGGCUCCCUGGGAGGCCUGUGCCGAGACAGGCUGUUCCAGGACACCGGCCAAUGGUCCGCAGACACACAGUCAAUGACGCAGCCAUACUUCAGGUCCCAGAGGUGACUGGCCACCUGACCACCCAAGAGGCUGGUGUUUCUCGGUCUUAGCAGGAAGGGACUGGAAAAUCUGCUGCUGAGACACGAGUCUACAGUAAGCUGGGAAGCAUGAACCCAGUGUAGAGCUAAGUAUACGUUGAACACCCGGCUUGAGGGCCAGCCCCUCGGAUUUACCACCCUCUCCUCUUCAAAGCGAACUAACACACUUGAAUAGGAAUGGGAGGGAGUGAACGAGCCCUCAUCUCAGCAUUUGGGUUUCCUGGUCGCCAUCAGCUCUGA
rnacentral:lncRNA from 1 species